rnacentral:rRNA from 1 species
UCUUUUCCUUGUGUGCCAGCAGCCGCGGUAAUACGUAUGGAGCAAGCGUUAUCCGGAUUUACUGGGUGUAAAGGGAGUGUAGGUGGCCAUGCAAGUCAGAAGUGAAAAUCCGGGGCUCAACCCCGGAACUGCUUUUGAAACUGUGAGGCUGGAGUGCAGGAGGGGUGAGUGGAAUUCCUAGUGUAGCGGUGAAAUGCGUAGAUAUUAGGAGGAACACCAGUGGCGAAGGCGGCUCACUGGACUGUAACUGACACUGAGGCUCGAAAGCGUGGGGAGCAAACAGG